AAUUACUUGAUUAUUUAAUUAUUUAAUUGUAAUUUUAUCUUCCUCGUUUUUCACCCAUUUCCUUGUCUAAACUCCCCUAAGCAAAAUUUCUCGCAUUAUUUUUCCUCUUGCUCUUCUUUACCAUUCACUUGUUAAUAAAGCUAUUAUUAUGAGUUAUAAAAAUGUGUUUGUGUGUGUUGUUAAGGAUGAUACUGUUUUUUUGCUGCUUUUGUGCUCUGCAUCGACAAAUGGACUGAACAACAACACAUUGAAAAAAGAGCAGUGAAAUCCCAUCAAGUACGUAUAAUAUUAUCAUCAUUAUUACCAUUAACCUGAUACAACAAAUAGAAAUACAAGAGGAACAAAAAAUAUCAAGGGAAAACAUGAAAAAAUGGCAAGACUUGGAAAAGAAGUGGAAGAAAUCUAUGUUGACUCUCGGGACAAUUUGUUUUUUUUACCAUUUAAUGACAAUGACCAUUUAAGAAGGAAAAGAUAAAGUUGAGUGGGUUACUUGUCUUGUUGAGUGACAGUGAACAUUAAUCAAUCAAACCACAAACAACAACAAUGAUUCUCUGUUCUUGGUUGUGCUAAAAAUGAUGAUUUAUCAUGAGUAGUCUUUAAUGGGUUGACGGACCAACACUUAACUAUUAGCUGAAUUUCAACAACUCAUGAAAACAUAAGGAGAGGAGGAAGAAGACAAGAUGUAGGAAAAGUGGAUUGACAAAAAAAAAUCAAAGACCAAUAUUAAAGUCUUACUGCCAAAAACUAUCAUCAGCUGGAAUACAUUUUUAUUUAAACGCAUCCAUUGGUGAAAGUGAUGAAUUAACAACAAAGUAAGACUCUUUAAUCAUUCAUAGCAGUCUUGAUUGAAAUGGAAUCGAAGAGAUUGGCCAUCGAUUAAAGCUUUUACAGUCCAGUGAGAAAUUUUAAGAGUUGGAUAAGCUAAAAUCAACUGACCUUUCAUGGAUGUUUACUUGUUGACACCGUAUAUUUUAAUCGCCAGGGAAACAUCGCCUUUCCUAACUAUUGGAAUCAAAUCAAUGAGAAAACGUAUUUUUAUUGUUUUUUCGGACUCUCCUCAUGUUAUCAAGAUUAUCUUCACAAAUGGACUAUACAAAUAACUUAAAUGGACUCCUUGAUGGAUGAGGAAAACUUGUCUUGUUGUUACUCUCAAAGAAAAGAUGACGAAUUAUAAGAAACACAAAACGAAGUGUAUAAUAAUGGCUUAUACCAAUUGCUUAAUUCUGUUGUUAAUAACAUAAACACUGUACAUGAUACACUUGCCUUUGGACUCGUUUUUUCCCUCUUGCUUCACAAACCUUGAAUUACUCUAUGAGUAAAGAAACCGAGAGAAACUUUUGUCAAAAUCUUUGCCUUAAUCAAUCUCUGUCAACGGAGAACGGAUUGAAAUGCAAGUCAAUCAAUGAGAGGAAAAACUCAACUCCAUGAUAUGCGAUCCUGUAGUAUACACACUGAUAAGGUAAAGAUGCUGAUGUUGAUGAUGAUGAUGGUGAUGAACACAAACAAAAAGAGAGGAAAAGACACAGAGAAAGACGGGCCAAAUGAGAAGCAAAAAAGAGGAUGAUUUGAAUUUAGUAAAGCCUUGAAUCAGAUUCCGUCUUAAUUUGAUGAAUGGUGAUGGUGGAUGAGAAAAGAUUCUGGAGGAAGAAGGAAAAGGAAAGGGGUUGAUACUUGAAAGAGAAGAAAAAAAAUAUAAAAGCAAAAGGAUCAUGUUGAUGAACAAAGAAGAUUGCAAGAAGUAGAAAUAUUCAAUCGAGAACAAAUCUAAUUACCAGGAUAGUUAACUGAUUGCUUUUGGAAAGUCUUUUAAUUAGCUGAUUAAAGAGUCCCGAAAAAAAACAGAGCAAAGACAAAGUCAUCUGAUGAUACGUUUCAUUUCCAUGGAUUUCCAUGAAGCUACUGGCAUUUUAAUUGUUACCCAUGGACCAGUUUUUCAGUGGAAAACUUGAUUACUGUAUCUUCAAGUCAACCGUUUCCAAUGGACAGAUUUAACUUGAUUUCUUGUUCAAUUAACCGAGUUUAUCUCAAACAAUGAAAUCAUAUUGUUUGAAUAUUUUUCCUGUUAAUUACCGGCUUACUGACAGUAUCAUGUCAACAGCAAACAAAAUUGACUAUAAUUAUAAGUUAAAUUAUCAUUUUUCAAAUGAUUUAUGAGUUAUUUUUGAUCAAAGAUAAUUUUCUUUUCACUUAAAUGAUAAUGUUUCUUUUGUGUGAAUAUUAAUCUAAUUUUAAUAACCAAUUUCUGGCCUGAUAGAUGAAAUUGACUCCAUUAUGAAUUGUGUGAUAUAUCUUUUGAUAUGAAAUGGUGAAAAUCAAGGAAACAAGAGAACUCAUUGAAUGGAAACUUUCAAUUGAUUGUAUUGAUCAAGAAAACUAAUCAAAGACUUAUUUCAUUAUGUAUUACCAAAUUAAAUGAGUUGGUAAAGGAAAAGAAAAAAUUGGUUCCAUUUUUGGGCCAUUUUUUGAUGUAUUAAUUUAAAGGUCAUAAUUUUAUUGUAAUAAUUGUUGUGAAAGAAAUUAUGUUUCUCUUUGUGUAGGAUGAUUAAAAGGUAAAUCAUACCUGUCAUGGACAUUGAUUGAUUCAAUUGAAAGUUAAAUUGUAGUAGCAAAUCUGAUGACUGUUAAUGAAAAACAAAAAAUGAAUGUUGCAUCGUAAAGGUUAAUAUUAAACAUUUAAUUUCUUUCUUCUCUUGCUAUUAACAUAAUCACAAAUUGGUAAUCAAAGUAAAUUAAGAUGUAAGAAUCUGUCAGGUGAAUUAAGAUUUAGAUUAUUUUGGAUAAACUGAUCAAUGGAAUAUCAAAAUGAAUAAAUGAAGGUUCAAUCAUUUGUUCAAGUCAUAUUUGGAUGCAUUUUUCUUCUUCUCAAUGGUCAAAGCUUCAGUUUGAUGGAUACAAAACGAUGAAUAGAUGGCGAUUUUAGAUUGAAAUUGGUUUGAUCAAGUAAAUUAAAAUGAUUAUAAUGGUGUAACAUAAUAUUAUCAAAUUGUAAUUAACUUAGUUGGUCUAAAAUUGAUUAGAUUUGAGAAUGUUUUUGUAUCUUUAUGUUUAUGGUUUACGAUACAAGUGUGUGAAGAUACAUUUAUAUAUGCAUUUAUAACAAAUUGAGAGAGAAAUCAGUUUUGUCAACUUAAUGAAAUAUAAUAUAGUUAAUCAGAUAUCCUGCUGGUUCAACAAAAUCAUUCAUUAAUUGAACGAUUCUGAAAGGUCAGCAUAGAAAGAUAAAGAUUGAUUCACAAUUUAACUUGAAUUGGGAAGAUGAGUUCGGGAAUAUGUCAGAUAAUGGAGGGAAGGAAGAUGAUGGCGAUGAUGAGCUAAGAAUGCAAGUUGGGGAUAAGAUGAGGAUUGAAGGAACCAGACGAAAGAUUGAAACAGAAGAACGAGAAAACGAUAGCAAAUGUUUAGGAUGUUGUGAAGAUUCAGUUGAUCUAGAAAAUGAGAGGAAGAAGAAGAAGAAAAAGAAGAGAAAAAAUGAGAAAAGCUAAAAAAAUUUUGAUAAACGUUACAAGAUGAAGUUGUGAUCACGAAAUUGGUAAGAUGAGUAUCACAAAUUGAUUGCAUUUUAAUUUGGCGCAUCAAUCAGUGAGAAAGAGAAUCUCUCUUGAUGAAGAUGAUCAUGAUCAUCAUUUUUUUACAUGGUUAUAGGUUUAAUCUAGGUUAUUCUGAUGAGAAAUUUUGUGUUAACUGUAAUCUAAUGUAUAAUUGAAGUGGUUAAAUGAUCCAAAACAAUGGCCAAAGUCAAUGGCUUUGUUUCCUUGCUGUUGUCAUUUCAAUUACAUAGACAGUAAAAUAGCAGAAACAGAUUUGGUUAACAAUUACAGUUGUUGGUUCAAGACAAAUGGCUCAUUGGAAAUGUUCAAUUGAUUGUUGGACAAACAUUUAGUAACGAUUUAGUUUUUAUUGAGAUUCUCAAUUGUAUUGUUGACUUAGCGUAAGAAAUUUUGCAGCUUUUCACUUUCAGCUGAUUUUAUUGGGGAAAGCAAUGUAAGCAACUAAAAAGUACAACCUUUUCCAACUUUCGACUUUCAUUCAAUUCAGUGAAUUGUGAAUUCACUCGAUUUCUCUGGUUAAUUACAAUUUAAUUUUAACUUGUUUCAAAUUUGAUUAAUUUACAUUCAGGUUAACACGAUUUAAAUUAAUGGUGUUACUUGAAAAUUGACUCUAUGGUUUUUUAUUUCCUUAUUUUGCCUCUUUCAUUGCAUCUAUUCACUCCUUUUUUUGCUACAAUUUAACACUUGGAUAAACCAAAGGUGAAAUUUCAUCCAAGAUAAUUUUUGUGAUGAAGAUUAUCAAUAGAAUGAUGAUGAUGACGAAAAGCAUUAUAAAAUUAUCUUUUUCUUUCUUUUCUUCAGUUUCAACCUUCACUUUUUAAAGUUCAUGAUUAGUCUCUAAUAUUGGAGGCUAGCCAAAGUCUUGUGCACAACCCCAACUAGUUAUCAUCUUGAGCAUUUACUUAACCGAUUAUCGGCAGCUACGGUCUUGAUCAAGUUUGCUCAUCAUCAUCAUUAUCAUCAUCAUUAUCACCAUCACCGUCUCUUUUAUCCUCUCACAACUUUUCUUUUCACUUUUUUUACAUUCUCAGGUCUUCUCGAAUCUAUACCUCGAGUUUACCUUAACCAUCAACAGCAUCAUCAUCGUCAUCAUCUCUGCCUCUCCCUGGCAGCUUAUUUUACUUUGCCUUUUGCUGUGCUUAUGCUGACAUUUUUACAUCACUCAAUAAGCUCCCACUCUUUCAGUAUAACAAAAAUUUCCAAUAGCCUCGAAGACUUCACUGUUUGUUAACCAAUCCAGGCGUGAACAUCACCAUCGUCAAAGUGUGGAGAGGGAACAAAAAGUCCAACUCUUUCAUUAUGUAUUUGCUUUUAUUUGUGUGACCAGUAUGAUGGACAGAAAAAAAGGCUUGAUUCCGAACAGUUCUUCUCUGUCCAAUAUCCAUGUAGUAAAACCAGUGAUUAUCGUUCCACUUUAUUCAUCUUUUUUGUCCUCCGUUCAGUCUGUUUGAUCUUCUGGUCAUCAUGUUAACCUGUUGAUGAAUGAAAAAUGUGAUUAGAUUCAGAUUUUUACAAACAAUUUGGACAAGUUGCAAGUUGCUUUAUUUACCAGUUUGACAACCUUUUAUAGAUAAUAAUUUCACUUUCAACUGAGAGUUUCAACAGUUCAACAUCUUUUUUAUUAUGUUUCUCUAUCAAAGGUUUCAACGUCUUCAAUUUAACGAGAGAUUUAAUAAGAAAACUGUGAAAACUAUUUUGUUACAUAUUUGUAUACAUUUAUUCAACAUAUAUUCAAUAAAAUGAUUAUUUAGUCUCCUGUUGAAAGCUUACUUGACUUGCAAACAUCAACAAGAUUGAUAAGUUUGGACAUCUGAAUUAUGUUUUAUGAUAAAUGCACCCGGACUCAAUAUAUUUCUUACACUUUCCCUGGCCUGCUUUAAUUUAAUACACUAUUCCUAUACGCUGUGUAAAAAAGCAAAACGACAUUCAUUUACUUGUAAGUUACAUUAAGCACAAGAGGGAAACUACUUUGUUAUACACAGAUGACCACACUGAGAUAUUUUUUAUCCUUGGUAGUAAAGGGUACAAAAUUAGUAGGAUAAUGAAUGUGAAGGAAGCGAAAAAGUGGGAAUUGUAGAAAUAGAAAGAGUCAAGGAGUUAAGAAAGCAAAGAGAAAUGAUUGAGAAAAAUCAUUCAUCAUUUUGCUUUUCCUCCUGUGGACAGGCUCGCUGGUCCGAUUCAUUGAUUGUAGCAAAUUUUGGAGACAACCAAGUUA